CCAGGGGUAACCGAAAACCUGUAUAAAAGAGUAGGAA
ncrna:unclassified sequences DTF805b RNA